ensembl:snRNA U6 U6 spliceosomal RNA
CCUACUUUGUUAGAACAUAAUAAAAUUGGAGUGAUACAGAGAAAGUUAUCAUGGCCUCCUGCACAAGGAUGACACACAAAUUCAUGACUUCAUACAUUUUAGG